UUCGCCAGGUCCUCCUCCGGUCAGGCCUUAACCUUCGGCCGCUGCUCCUCAGGCCCCCAACGCCAGAAGCUCCUGCUUGAUCUAUUCGUAUAUGCUUGAUCUAUUCGUAUGCCAAUACAAGAUCUACUCUCAGAUCAUGCCAAUACUGAUCUACUCUUGUGUACGCUAGAUCUGCUCAGUGAUCUGAGAGUCCCUUCAAGGUGUUUGUAGUUUGUACUCUACUGUCUACUCCAUCUCAAUCCACGAAUUGCAAAUUAAAAGCGUACUUUACUGAUUCAGUGAUUAAUUGGUCGUUGGUGUGUCCAUAGUCAAUUGGCUUUAUGUGCUCAUUAAUCUGCUUUCAAAUUGUAAAUUGGAAGUGUAGCGUGACUAAUUAAUUGGUCAAUUGUUGUAUCCGUAGUCCAUUGACAUGUUAGAAUGUGAAUAUUUCAUAUUUUAUACUUGUAUACCGCAUUGCUAGAGAAUUUUGUAGCUGUGUUAUCUGACUGCUCUUGUAUAUGCUUGAUCUAUUCGUAUUGGCAUGAUCUGAGAAUUUUGAGUGAGCAUCGCAGCCGUCUUACUCCUAAGAUAUUGGAAGCUUUGAUGUGUGGGCAAAGUUGGCUUCGUCACACUCUCAAAGAUAAUGGUGAUAGGGUCAAUAGCUUUUGGUCCUGCCUUGAAGACAUUCAGGAAGAAAUGAAAGAAGAUUCUUGCAUCACUACCGCUGAUUCCGACUGAUAUGAGUUCCAUUUGCUUGGUUCAACAGAACUUUUUAUGUAAUAAUGGUGUUGAACAAUAACUCUUGUAUGGUUGCAUGUUUUUCUUUGUGCAUCAGACUAUUUAUUUGUUGGCUUGUACUUGUAUUAGACUAUUUAUUUGUGGGCUUCUACUUGUAUCAGACUGUUACUUGUUGGCUUC